rnacentral:rRNA from 1 species
AGGGUGUAAACGCUGCAGACUUGGUGUUGGAAAUCCUUCGAGGGUAUUCAGUGCCGGAGAGAAGUUGUUAAGUCUGCUACUUGGGGAGUACGUCCGCAAGGAUGAAACUUAAAGGAAUUGGCGGGGGAGGCACCGCAACGGGAGGAGCGUGCGGUUUAAUUGGAUUCAACACCGGAAACUACACCAGGGGAGGACUGUUACAUGAAACCCAGACUAAUGAUCUUGGUUGAUUUCUAGAGAGGUGGUGCAUGGCGUCAGUGACU